rnacentral:lncRNA from 12 species
GGGUCGGGGGGCGGGGGGACACCCCAGUACCUUCAGGUCGUACUUCCUGUGCACGGGCAGGCGGUGGCUGAACAGGUUCCUCAUCACCAGCAGGUAGGUGUCCUCGCUGUCCACGCUGACCCGGUACAUGCCCAGGAACCGCGGCAGCAGCGUCUGCCCGUGGCACUGCACCACGUACUGCGGACAGACGGACAGACAGAGGGACAGACAGCUGUGCUGGGGACAGACAGAGGGACACUGCACCAUGGACUGCGGACAGAGGGACAGACGGAGGGGCAGACAGCUGUGCUGGGGACAGACAGAGGAACAGACAGACGGACACUGCACCACGGACUGCAGACAGACGGACAGACAGAGGGACAGACAGCUGUGCUGGGGACAGAGGGACAGACGGACACUGCACCACGUACUGCGGACAGAUGGACAGACAGAGGGACAGACAGCUGUGCUGGGGACAGACAGACAGACGGACACUGCACCACGUGGGGGGGGGGGGGGGGGGGGGGGGGGGGGGGGGGGGGGGGGGGGGGGGGGGGGACACUGCACCACGGACUGCAGACAGACGGACAGACGGACACUGCACCACGUACUGCGGACAGACGGACAGACAGAGGGACAGACAGCUGUGCUGGGGACAGACAGAGGGACAGACAGACACUGCACCGCGGACUGCGGACAGAGGGACAGACGGACACAGGGACAGCUGUGCUGGGGACACAGGGACAGAGGUGACAAAGCUAUGCUGGGAGGGGCACAGAGGUGACACACAGAGGUGACACACAGAGGUGACACCGGGCACACACAGAGGUGACACACAGAGAUGACACCGGGCACACACAGAGGUGACACACAGAGGUGACACCGGGCACACACAGAGGUGACACACAGAGAUGACACCGGGCACACACAGAGGUGACACACAGAGGUGACAGUGAGCACACACAGAGGUGACACACAGAGGUGACACCGGGCACACACAGAGGUGACACACACAGAGGUGACACACAGAGGUGACACCGGGCCCCCCCGCACCUGGUGGUAGUGGGACAGCAGCCCGUGCACGUCGGCCACGCCCUCGCUGGACAGCUCCUUCAGCACCAGCGUGCGAUCCGCCGACAGCAGCAGGUGCCGCCCGCCCGCCCAGCGCGGGGCGCUGCGGGUCAGGGACACCUGCGGGCACAGCGGGAGGGGACAGGGGACAGGGGACAGGGGACAGGGGACAGGGGACAGGGACAGGGGACAGGGGGGGGGGGGGGGGGGGGGGGGGGGGGGGGGGGGGGGGGGGGGGGGGGGGGGGGGGGGGGGGGGGGGGGGGGGGGGGG